rnacentral:lncRNA from 1 species
GAUGCUUCGCUAAUUUUCUGUAUUGGUUCAAUCCUGAUAUGGUUUAAUUCUGUUUGAUUAAAUCCAAUACAUGUAAUAAAGUGAACAAAAUUGAUGCAUUGCAACAUGUAAUGAACUAAACUUAGUGAACCAUCUUGCUGCUGAACAUAAGCAGAAUAUGUCAUUAAGUUAAAAUGAAAUUUACAUUGUUCUAAUUGAGUACAUAUCAUCAGCAGGCCAGACUUAGUCCGACGAAUCCCAUUGAGUUUUCCUUUGGUUUCCAUUGAGUGUUAUGCACGAGCUGCCAUCGAUUACCUUGCCAGAGCAAGAUAAUCAACCUCAACCCCCUUUCUAUACUUAUCUCCUGGUCCCUUGGCCAUCGCCAAUGGCUAGAUUGCCACCGGUGAGUCGCCAAAUUUUGUUGGAAACCAGAUGCCCUAUUCUAUACUUCCUCUCCCUAGUUUCUUGUUUUGCCGACCACCACCGACCGUGGCUCGUUGUACAGAUCAUCGCCGUUGCCUUGCCGCCGGACGCCACCAUAGGUUGCUGCCCAACGGCCCAUUGUAACAACUUGGACAGCUCCUCACCUUCCUC